rnacentral:rRNA from 1 species
CCAGUCUUAUCGGUGGAUCACUCGGCUCGUGGAUCGAUGAAGAACGCAGCCAACUGCGAUAAUUAGUGUGAACUGCAGAAACCUUGAACACAGAACUUUCGAAUGCACAUUGCGCCAUUGGAGUGACAUCCAUUGGCACGCCUGGUUCAGGGUCGUAA